AGAUUCAGAAGCAGAGUCCCACCUGGGUCACCAAAACUGUCACCGAAAUAGGAAAUAAAACUCCUUAACACCAAUGUAGCAUUAAGAAGCAGGCAUUCUCUUUAUUAUGGCGCCGGGUGCAUGGGGGAUCGCUCUGCCCAAUGUGCAUGCCAUAUGUUGCAUUAGCCAAAGUUUAUAUUCCUCUGUUACAUACAUAUAUGCAUUAAAUUUCCAGGAAUGAUUAUACAUAUUCAUUCUAUUUCCUGGAACUAAUCACCAUAUUUACAUAGUCAUUACACAUGCGGUCUGAGUCUCUGGGGGUCUUCUGUGGGGGUCUCUGGUGGUCCCUGGUGGUCCCUAGUGGUUGCUGAAGAGGUGCCUUUUCCAUGAACUCUGAGCUCCUUUUCCAUAUAUGGUCUCGGCUUGGCUCAUUUCUUUGCUUGAGAAAGCUGUAUUCCUCCUAACCUUGGUUUCACCUGGUUUCUGCUGGUUUAUCUGUACCCCCUUAGGAUGUAUCAGUGAGAGCUGCGAGAACUGUAUCCUUGGGUGCAUUCUUGUCUGAAGCUCCUGGUAACAAAGUGACCAGCACUGGCCUAACAGGCACUGAGGAACAAAUGACCUCAUAACCACAAACAACAGACACAUCACCAGCACAGGCCUGUCAGGCACUGAGCCACAAGUGACCUCACAACCACAAACAGCAUCCACCUGACCAGCACUGGCCUAUCAGGCACCGAGGCUCAAGUGACCUCACAACCACAAACAAAAACAACAUGACCAGAACUGACCUAACAGCAACUGAGGCACAAGUGACCUCACAACCACUAACAGGAGGCAGAUGACCAGCAACGGCCUAUCAGGCACUGAGGCACUGGUAACCUCACAACCACAAACUGCACCCACAUGACCAGCACUGGCCUAUCAGGCACCGAGGCUCAAGUGACCUCACAACCACAAACACCAGCCACAUGAUCAGCACUGGCCUAUCAGGCACUCAGGCACAAGUGACAUCACAACCACAAACUCCACCCACAGCACCAGCACUGGCCUAUCAGGCACUGAGCCACAAGUGACAUCACAAACACAAACUGCACCCACAGGACCAGCACUGGCCUAUCAGGCACUGAGGCACUCAGCCACAAGCAUCACCAAAGCUAUGGGCAUGCUGUUGGCCUACCAGAUUCAGAGGCACAACUCACCUCACAAGCACAAAUGGCAUCGACCUGCCUGCUGCUGCCCUAUCUGGGACCGAGUCACAAGGGAUCUGAAAAGUGCAAGCUCACCUGGGCCACUCUCACAUCCUUCGAUUACGCUGUGAUCACUCCA
rnacentral:lncRNA from 1 species